CCUCAAAUAAGAGCCACAAACGUGGAAGAUAUAUCCAAAGGAACCAAAUUAAAGGACUGGAGAAAGUCUAGGUGAGAUGGCUUUGUCCCGUUGCAGGCGAGUUCCAAGCACAGAGAACCAAAUGGUUUCCACAGAGAACAUGUGUAGAAGGGAUUGUAACCCACAACUGUCUGAACCCAAGCACUAAGCUUCAAACCAGACUCUGUGCUGCUUCUGCUUUAUACACAGGCCCUGGCUGAAAACCCUUGACUUUACCAGGCAUGCAAGGAGAUGCUAAGUCCACUUUGGCUGCAGAUCUCUAAACGACCACGGCCCGAAGUGUCAGUUUCAAAUGCUUGUUUCAGCUCUGCCCUCCCCACAUCAAAUCCCACCUCUCUCACGCUAAAGCAUCAUAAUAUAUUUGUGCUGAGAGUUGCCUUAGAAAUCAUUCAGUAUUCAGUUCACGGGGGAAGAAACAGAAAGCCCCUAGAGGUGACCUCAUUAGCCUACAGUUGCCCUGAGAACUGGUGGCAGAAGCAGAUUGGUGUCCAGCCUCCUGAUGUACAUGCCAGUGCUCUUUCCCCCAAGCCAUGUGUCUCCUGGUCACGCCCUUUGUCCUUGCUGUCCUCUACUAUUCUCUUCUGGAAGACUCACGAUGAGAGAGCCGACUUCUCCAAGCUGCACUCCUAGCUCUCUGGGACCCAGCAGGGACCGCUGCCUUCCAGCCAGCAGUUUGAAGAAGGACAGCUACCAUCAAACACAGACUUACAGCCUCCCUGAUGCCCUGGAUGCCAGGAAAUGUCUGGACCAGUCAAGAUAAGAGCAAGGCAGAGCCAGGAAGAAAUGGGGACAGGAGUUCCUAUUUAAAUAUAUAAAGAAUCCUUUCCUAGGUAGAGAAAAGUCAUCUAGCAAUGUGACUGAUCACCUCUCCGUUUAUCUGUUUGAUCAACUGGAAUUUCUAUACAGAAGGUUUAUACAAAGAAGCCACAAACAACCAUUGUCACAAUGACCCCUACAUAAUUCCUUGUGUAAAUGCUCUGGAAAUGCACCCAGAAGUCUGGAGAAGGUCCAAUCAAACUGGGUGGCAGGAAGAAGCAAGCUCUGUUCUCAGAUCUUCAACAGAAUCACCUGGACCCUGGGGUUGCCACCACGCUAAGCCAAGGAGGCCUCUGAAUGCACGGGAGUGCAGGGUCUGAAGGGAGUUGUUAAAAGGUGUUUCUUGAUCCAGGACCAUGUAAAGACCCAGGAGAAAUAGGUAUCCCAAAGAGAACAGCGUAUAAGAUUCACAAACCAAUGACAAACACGCUGGGUUCGCUGCUGGUCUCCACAGUUGGUUGGUUCUGUAGGGCUCAGCUGCCUCUUUCUCUCUACUUCUGGUUUCAGAAAACACGAGAGAGAAGCCGAGUGCUCAUGGAGUUUCCUCAAAGACUCAGCAAAAACUAGGCUUUGUGUUCUGAGAUCAGGAAGUAACAGUGAGAGUCCAAAAUUUUCUUCCCUGACAAUGUCUCCUACUCAAGCAGGGCCUGGAAGUCACCCCCUAGAAUCAAAGCCUUGACAUAUGCAAGCUCAUAGUUUAUUGCUUCUUCUCCCAUCUGCCCGUUGACAGAUAAAUCCCAGAGGGAAUAAAAACACAUUGCCCUCAGCAGAUUAUUCUUCACUGAAGAAUACCAGUCUUUUAACACUCCGCUACAGAAAUAGCUUUCUGCCGGCUGAUGGCUUGUUGCGCUGCACUAAGAGAGCCCGCACACCUCGAAGCUUCGUCAAGCAAAGCCUAUGAUUUCACAGACCCAGAAAUGUUUUCUUUCUCUAAGCCAAUAACAUAUGCUUGGGUUUAUGCCAACUCUACCAGAGGCGCACAGAUACAAUGAGGCAUGAAGUUCAGAAUAAUAGAAAGUAGAGAGUUGGAAAGCACAGGAGAACCCAUCUAGACCAACCUGUUUUGUUGAAAAAGGAGCUCCCUGACCCAGAGAGGUUAAGGGUUUGCUGUGAGACGGUGCCCCUGGUUAAAGGCAGCAUGAGAUGCUGUCCUCUGAUCCCCAGCUUCCUAGGGCUCUUGCCUCUAGGUCACACUGCCUUGAGGCCAGGAGCUGAUAUUGAUUGAACAGAUGUGAAAACAGAAGAAAAAAAAAUUGUGGUGACUGCCCUCUGACAAUUUUCCACUUUCUUUGGACCAAUUUUCUUUGCCAUUAUCUGGAAAAAAAAAAAAUGUCCAGAAGAGCAUUUUAAAUUCAGGAAGUGGUUCUGGAACUAGGAGAAGACACACCUUGAUGACAGUAAUAUUGUCUAAGUGAGAAGGAACAAGCUCUUGAAUGUUUCUAGAAAAACCAAAUAUGAUAGGAGACCAUAAAAUUAUACUUCGUCAUAUGGAUUUCCAGUUUGAGAAAACUUAGUGGCUAAACAAAGGUGCCGCUUGAGAGAUGCAGACAGAAAUCAGCCUCUGCUUUAAGAACAAGUUGCUACGCUGAAGAAUGAGAAGAGGAAUGGGGCCCAGAGGCUGAAGGUCUGGACCAAUCUCCCUUCCCAGAUAAGCGCCUGGACCCUCGUUCCUCAGAAGCCACGUGUAAUUACCAGCUCUUUUUGGCUACAGAGCACAUGCCCAGGAGGCUUGGAGAAGCAGGAAUUUAAAACAUGCUAGUUUCAGAGCCAAGAUUGGUGACAACACCAUCAGUUACUGUUUGGGCUUCGGGAAGCCGUGGGCUGCAGCACUGGGUCUGGUGUCCUGGGCUGUGUGGGACCUCAGCAAGGUUGUUUCCUGAAAUGAAAGCUCCUCUUCUGGGGGAUGACACACCAGGACCACCUGCAGAUGAUGUUUAUGAAUCCCCCAGCAGGGGUGGAUUGAUCUUACAAUGGGACUGUGUAAUAUAAACAUUUCAUUAUUCUACAAAAGAAUACACACAAUACCACCUAAGGGUCUCUAAGAAUAGGGUUGGAGAGUGACAAUGAGAAAAUGCCACUCAAAAAGAAAUAGAGCCGCAUUCCUUCUACACAACAUUAAUAUUAACUUUACAUACAGGGGAAAAAAAUGGCAUUUUACCUUAAGAGUUAUUUGUAAACUCUCUCCACACCAUGAGAUAAAAUCAGUGCAGAGCUCAGAGCUCUGAAUUUCCUCAUUUGGGGGCUAAUAGACUUUAAUGGGGGCUCUUCUUGGCAUGCAAAUGAACGUGUGUGUCUCUGAGUGCAUGUGUCUGUGUGUGUACACACGUCCCUUUGAAGUUUAUUUACUUGGUAGCACUAAUUGUAAAAGGGCACACCCAGGGGAAUUUAAUGAGGCGACAUGCUAGAAUAUAGACAUUAGAAAGGGAAUUAAUAUUUUCCUCAUAAUAGCAAGUAGGUGAAGUCAAGUAUGAGGACAGAAGGAAAGAAAAAGGAAGGCAGGGAAAGAGGGAAGGAGAGGAGAGGAACAGGUUUUGAUGAUCGUAGAUAAGAACCAAUAAACACUGUUGCUUCACACUCCCG
ensembl:lncRNA novel transcript